AUUGAACGCUGGUGGCAUGCCUUACACAUGCAAGUCGAACGGUAACAGGUUAAGCUGACGAGUGGCGAACGGGUGAGUAAUGUAUCGGAACGUGCCCAGUCGUGGGGGAUAACUGCUCGAAAGAGCAGCUAAUACCGCAUACGACCUGAGGGUGAAAGCGGGGGAUCGCAAGACCUCGCGCGAUUGGAGCGGCCGAUAUCAGAUUAGGUAGUUGGUGGGGUAAAGGCCUACCAAGCCUACGAUCUGUAGCUGGUCUGAGAGGACGACCAGCCACACUGGGACUGAGACACGGCCCAGACUCCUACGGGAGGCAGCAGUGGGGAAUUUUGGACAAUGGACGCAAGUCUGAUCCAGCCAUGCCGCGUGCGGGAAGAAGGCCUUCGGGUUGUAAACCGCUUUUGUCAGGGAAGAAAAGGUUCUGGUUAAUACCUGGGACUCAUGACGGUACCUGAAGAAUAAGCACCAGCUAACUACGUGCCAGCAGCCGCAGUAAAAC
rnacentral:rRNA from 1 species